CUACGGGCCGCAGCAGUGAGGUAUAUUGCACAAUGGGGGGAACCCUGAUGCAGCAACGCCGCGUGGAGGAUGACGCAUUUCGGUGUGUAAACUCCUUUUAUAUGUCAAGAAAAUGACGGUAGCAUAUGAAUAAGCACCGGCUAACUCCGUGCCAGCAGCCGCAGGUAAUACGGAGGGUGCAAGCGUUACUCGGAAUCACUGGGCGUAAAGGACGCGUAGGCGGGUUGGAAAGUCAGGUGUGAAAUCCUACAGCUUAACUGUAGAACUGCACUUGAAACUUCUAAUCUAGAGUAUGGGAGGGGGAGAUGGAAUUAGUGGUGUAGGGGUAAAAUCCGUAGAUAUCACUAGGAAUACCUAAAGCGAAGGCGAUCUCCUGGAACAUUACUGACGCUAAGGCGUGAAAGCGUGGGGAGCAAACAGGAUUAGAUACCCCAGUAGUC
rnacentral:rRNA from 1 species